UUGAUUCUUAGCACUUUUAAUUUAAAUCAUUCAGUAGCUUACAAUCUAUAUUCUCUUAGCCUCAAGAGGCUUAUAACUUGUAUUUUCUUAGUCUCAACAGACUUACAAGAUUUUCUCUCAAUCUAACAUAAAAAGGAUUCCUUGAAGAAGUUAAAAGAAUAUGAAAGAGAUUUGUGGGAUCUAUUUGCAUCUAAAGAUAAAUGAGAUAGUUAGAUAUAAAAAAGGCACUAAAAAUAUCCAUAUAUAUAUGUUUUGAGCUGAAGUGUGUUGUAGAUGAAGAUAUUACGAUACUUACAUUUAAAAAGUGGAUUAUGGUUCAAAUAUAAUCUCUAGAGUCUUCAAGCUUUGAUGUUUCUUGUAUUUAUAAGUGAUGGAAGCUUUUCAUCAGUUUGAAUACUAAUACGGCCAUUGGGCAUAUUUUCCAAUGCACCUAAUUAACAAUAUGAUUGUUUCUCCAGAAUACAGAUUGAUAUCAUUUGUAUGUAUAAAAGAUUAGAAUGUUCUCUUUGAUUCAGAUUGAUAUAAGAUAAAUCCAAUAAAGAUGCAUGAUGAAUAGUUUGUGUUGUACUUUUGAUCUCUUGUGCAAGAUACUUGUGGCAACAAUUUGUUAAUGUUUUUUUUUUUUUUUAGAAUGACCUAAUGAAUAUUUCUUCAAUGGCCUUUUAAUUAUUCGAAGUCAAUUUUUGCUUAAUAGAUACAUGAUGAGCCAUGCGAAU
rnacentral:lncRNA from 1 species